CAGGCUUAACACAUGCAAGUCGAGGGGCAGCAUGGUCUUAGCUUGCUAAGACUGAUGGCGACCGGCGCACGGGUGAGUAACACGUAUCCAACCUGCCGUCUACUCUUGGACAGCCUUCUGAAAGGAAGAUUAAUACAAGAUGGCAUCAUGAGUCCGCAUGUUCACAUGAUUAAAGGUAUUCCGGUAGACGAUGGGGAUGCGUUCCAUUAGAUAGUAGGCGGGGUAACGGCCCACCUAGUCUUCGAUGGAUAGGGGUUCUGAGAGGAAGGUCCCCCACAUUGGAACUGAGACACGGUCCAAACUCCUACGGGAGGCAGCAGUGAGGAAUAUUGGUCAAUGGGCGAGAGCCUGAACCAGCCAAGUAGCGUGAAGGAUGACUGCCCUAUGGGUUGUAAACUUCUUUUAUAAAGGAAUAAAGUGAGGCACGUGUGCCUUUUUGUAUGUACCGUAUGAAUAAGGAUCGGCUAACUCCGUGCCAGCAGCCGCGGUAAUACGGAGGAUCCGAGCGUUAUCCGGAUUUAUUGGGUUUAAAGGGAGCGUAGGCGGACGCUUAAGUCAGUUGUGAAAGUUUGCGGCUCAACCGUAAAAUUGCAGUUGAUACUGGGUGUCUUGAGUACAGUAGAGGCAGGCGGAAUUCGUGGUGUAGCGGUGAAAUGCUUAGAUAUCACGAAGAACUCCGAUUGCGAAGGCAGCUUGCUGGACUGUAACUGACGCUGAUGCUCGAAAGUGUGGGUAUCAAACAGGAUUAGAUACCCUGGUAGUCCACACAGUAAACGAUGAAUACUCGCUGUUUGCGAUAUACAGUAAGCGGCCAAGCGAAAGCGUUAAGUAUUCCACCUGGGGAGUACGCCGGCAACGGUGAAACUCAAAGGAGUUGACGGGGGCCCGCACAAGCGGAGGAACAUGUGGUUUAAUUCGAUGAUACGCGAGGAACCUUACCCGGGCUUGAAUUGCAACUGAAUGAUGUGGAGACAUGUCAGCCGCAAGGCAGUUGUGAAGGUGCUGCAUGGUUGUCGUCAGCUCGUGCCGUGAGGUGUCGGCUUAAGUGCCAUAACGAGCGCAACCCUUAUCGAUAGUUACCAUCAGGUUAUGCUGGGGACUCUGUCGAGACUGCCGUCGUAAGAUGUGAGGAAGGUGGGGAUGACGUCAAAUCAGCACGGCCCUUACGUCCGGGGCUACACACGUGUUACAAUGGGGGGUACAGAAGGCAGCUACACGGCGACGUGAUGCUAAUCCCGAAAGCCUCUCUCAGUUCGGAUUGGAGUCUGCAACCCGACUCCAUGAAGCUGGAUUCGCUAGUAAUCGCGCAUCAGCCACGGCGCGGUGAAUACGUUCCCGGGCCUUGUACACACCGCCCGUCAAGCCAUGAAAGCCGGGGGUACCUGAAGUGCGUAACCGCAAGAAGCGCCCUAGGGUAAAACUGGUGAUUGGGGCUAAGUCG
rnacentral:rRNA from 1 species